rnacentral:misc_RNA from 1 species
UUCAGUCGUCUUUCAGUCGCCGAACCAUCAUGCGUGACAUUUAAAAUAAAAUAAAUAUAAUGUUUAAACUUUUUACAAAUAAUCGUAGAAAUAUGAUCGAGAACGAGAAGUCAAUUUGGUGUAUCAGUAUCCGCUUUUAUUAACAGACUAACUAUAAUGGAACAUGUUUACAUUUUAAACCAAUAUAGGAUCUUUGUUAGCAGGAAGUCGUCUCAACAUAAUAGAUGAAAACCAUUAUGCUGGUAGAGUAAAUUGUAUAAUAUCAAAAAAUGUCGUUAUAACAAAUAAUGGAACAUACCAUCUAAUUGGGCCAAUUGUUAAAGGAUCUCCAGAUAAUUUAUAUCGCGCGUGUUUACACAUUAAUGGUGUUCCAA